AGUGAACGCUGGCGGUAGGCCUAACACAUGCAAGUCGAACGGCAGCACAGUAAGAGCUUGCUCUUACGGGUGGCGAGUGGCGGACGGGUGAGGAAUACAUCGGAAUCUACUUUUUCGUGGGGGAUAACGUAGGGAAACUUACGCUAAUACCGCAUACGACCUACGGGUGAAAGCAGGGGAUCUUCGGACCUUGCGCGAUUGAAUGAGCCGAUGUCGGACUAGCUAGUUGGCGGGGUAAAGGCCCACCAAGGCGACGAUCCGUAGCUGGUCUGAGAGGAUGAUCAGCCACACUGGGACUGAGACACGGUCCAGACUCCUACGGGAGGCAGCAGUGGGGAAUAUUGGACAAUGGGCGCAAGCCUGAUCCAGCCAUACCGCGUGGGUGAAGAAGGCCUUCGGGUUGUAAAGCCCUUUUGUUGGGAAAGAAAAGCAGCAGGUUAAUACCCCGCUGUUCUGACGGUACCCAAAGAAUAAGCACCGGCUAACUUCGUG
rnacentral:rRNA from 1 species